AGGUUAAAGUACACAGAGAAUAAGCCAGUGAUCCCUCCGCCACAGACCCAUUCUUUCCAUUUGUUGCCUCACGGUAUGCAAAAAAAAGUCCCGCGAAAUCGGUCAUCAACUUUGGGACCUAGAGGAAAAUUGCCGUGGCACAUAGAUAAGACUGAACGGCGAGAUCCUGAGCUAUAAGUGCCUAUUGGAUUGUUCUUCAAGUGCGUGGGCUGUCUACCGAAGAUGAGCCUUCCACUUCGCGGAAGAAUCUCACAGGAAAGGGGGGAUUGAGAAGGUAUUCAGAGACUUGCAAAGAAAUUUAAAGUAGUUGAAGGCCAUAAUGAAUGAUGCAAGAGAUGAAAGAGAAGGUGACUUUGAAGGACAAAGCAGUUAAGAGGUGAUUGUGUGCCCUGGACCUUAAGUAUUUUGAUUGAUUGAAAAAGAAAUGGAAUAAAGAAAUUAAAGACAUGUUCAUAAAGGCUGGUGUUUGACAUUACAUCACAUUUAAUCCUUAAGAAGAACUCAUGCCUCCAUUUUGUAAGUGUGAAAACGGAUAAUCAGAGAAUGUUUGGAAACAUACAAGGGAUUAUAGAUGCAAAUUAACUCUGGAUGUUAAUUUUCAAUAUACAUAUUCUGAAUCUGACUUUUAAGUUUUUAAAGUUAAUAACACAAGAAUUGAAUUGGAUUUAUAAUCUGCAGACCAUUUAAAGGAAGGGAGCUGCUAAAUGAAAAAAAAACUUAUCCGGCUGAACGGAAGGCAGAAUGGGAACGAGAUAAGCAAAAGAAACUGGAACAUAUGGUAAAAAUGUUUUUAAUGUGAAAAGUAAGUCCAAACAUCAGUAUUUACAAUAAAUAUAAAUGGGUUAAUUUCACUCAAGUUUAAACAGACAAUUGGGAUUAAAAGGAAAAUCCAGUAUAAAUUGGCCGUAAGCAAACUCUUACAACACAGGAAGCUUGAAAAUACUGGGCUAAAAUAUUUAAUCGAAUGGUAGCCAAAUGAAAGCAAUAUAGCAAUAUUAAUAUAAUUAAAAGUAUCAAAAGAGAAAGGAUUUCAUAUUAAAGGAUAAAGUCCAUGAAGACAA